rnacentral:sRNA from 1 species
AAUAGAGGAACGAAGGCUAAAACCAUCACGUCCUGUGAUAGUGCCUUCGUGGCCAACUUCCUGUUGC